rnacentral:lncRNA from 1 species
CCAUAAUUCAAAUUAAGUCUUUAAUUAUAGCCUCAUUUAUUGUAGGCUUUAAUUUAGGAACCAUAUCUUUCAAAUUUUUAUACUACCCGUUUCUCUCUACUCUCGCACGAUUUACCUAUAGUUAAUUCCCUCUCCCCUCCCCGCGAUUUUUCUUCAGUUUUUUUCCCUAUUCCUCUACAGCUCUAACCCAUAAAUUCCAUCAUUUUCUGUUGAAUCCCCAACCAUUUUCAACCCUCAUUCCAACUUUGUAUUCAACUCAUAAAUCAUGAAAAAA